rnacentral:rRNA from 1 species
CCCGCUGAACUUAAGCAUAUCAAUAAGCGGAGGAAAAGAAACUAACAAGGAUUCCCCUAGUAACUGCGAGUGAAGCGGGAAAAGCUCAAAUUUAAAAUCUGGCAGCCAUUUUACGGUUGUCCGAGUUGUAAUCUAGAGAAGUGCUUUCCGUGCUGGACCGUGUACAAGUCUCUUGGAAUAGAGCAUCAUAGAGGGUGAGAAUCCCGUCUUUGACACGGACAACCGAUGCUUUUGUGAUGCGCUCUCGAAGAGUCGAGUUGUUUGGGAAUGCAGCUCAAAAUGGGUGGUAAAUUCCAUCUAAAGCUAAAUAUUGGCGAGAGACCGAUAGCGAACAAGUACCGUGAGGGAAAGAUGAAAAGCACUUUGGAAGGAGAGUUAAACAGUACGUGAAAUUGUUGAAAGGGAAACGUUUGAAGUCAGUCGCGUCGGCCGAGACUCAACCUGGGCUUCUGCCCGGUGCACUUCUCGGUUGACGGGUCAGCAUCAAUUUUGACCGCCGGAUAAAGGUUGGGGGAAUGUGGCAUCCUUCGGGAUGUGUUAUAGACCUCGAUUCGGAUACGGCGAUUGGGAUUGAGGAACUCGGCGCUCUGCGUCCAGGAUGCUGGCAUAAUGGCUUUAAGCGACCCGUCUUGAAACACGG